AAUAGAACCGAUCUUAUUUUCACUACAAGAGGAAUUUCGUGUUUCUGUCGGAUCCUCCCUAUCUCGUGAUCGAGCUUGUGUAGGUAGAUAUUGCCUGGUAGGGCCGAUAGUAGUACACUGUUUGGGAUGGAGUCACGGCCCUUCUCACCCCCUGCGAGUCGUCCGGCGGAAAACUUUUUCUGAGUGGGGUAAAAGAACUUGGAAUCGUCGAUCUCUUCCUUCAAGAUUGAGAUGAAUCGAUGUCGGUCGAUGGUGUGAAAAC
rnacentral:lncRNA from 1 species